AGGCGGAAGGCCAAAAAAGGGCAUUUGAGGGAGUUAGGCCUGCUAAGCCGAAGUGCGCUCCGGGAUUUCUUGACUUUAUUUCGUCAAUGUUGAGAAAAACUUUUUAUAUCUCAAAAUAUCGUUAGAAAAGGAAGUCCCAGCGCUCGGAGGCUUAGCUGACAAAGAAGGGGGUUGCGUGGCUGCGAGUCUCAGAACUACUGUUUGGGAGCCCCAAAACCACUGCUGGCACCCGCGCCGCACGGGCGCCCAAUUCCUCCCCUGGUAGGUAACGCGGAAGAGCCGGGAGGGUGGCGGCCUCAGGGCGCAGGAUCGGGCAAACCUGUCGCUCAGAAGCUCGGCUACCGAAAAGCAGAAUGGCCACGCGUUGUAGACGGAAGCCUGCAGUCUCAGCAUCCAGGCUGGAGGCAGUAAAGAUUGCUGCUAGAGCAUGGAAACCCCGAAACCGCGGAUUUUGCCCUGGCUGGUGUCACAGCUGGACCUGGGGCAGCUGGAAGGCGUGGCCUGGCUGGACGAGAGCCGAACGAGGUUCAGGAUCCCGUGGAAGCAUGGCCUACGGCAGGACGCACAGAUGGCUGACUUUGGCAUCUUCCAGGCCUGGGCAGAAGCCAGUGGUGCCUACACCCCGGGGAAGGAUAAGCCGGACGUGUCAACCUGGAAGAGGAAUUUCCGGUCAGCCCUGAACCGGAAAGAAGUGUUGCGGUUAGCUGCUGACAAUAGCAAGGACCCUUAUGACCCUCAUAAAGUGUAUGAGUUUGUGACUCCAGGGGCGCGGGACUUCGUACAUCUGGGUGCCUCUCCUGACACCAAUGGCAAAAGCAGCCUGCCUCACUCCCAGGAAAACCUACCGAAGUUAUUUGAUGGCCUGAUCUUGGGGCCCCUCAAAGAUGAGGGGUCCUCAGAUCUGGCUAUUGUUUCUGAUCCUUCUCAACAACUGCCAAGCCCCAAUGUGAACAACUUCCUAAACCCUGCACCCCAAGAAAAUCCACUGAAGCAGCUGCUAGCUGAGGAACAAUGGGAGUUCGAGGUGACCGCCUUCUACCGAGGCCGCCAGGUCUUCCAGCAGACACUCUUUUGCCCGGGGGGCCUGCGGCUGGUGGGCAGCACAGCUGACAUGACACUGCCCUGGCAGCCAGUCACCCUGCCCGAUCCUGAGGGGUUUCUGACGGACAAGCUUGUGAAGGAGUACGUGGGGCAGGUGCUCAAAGGGCUGGGCAAUGGGCUGGCACUGUGGCAGGCUGGGCAGUGCCUCUGGGCCCAGCGCCUAGGCCACUCCCACGCCUUCUGGGCUCUGGGGGAGGAGCUGCUUCCAGACAGUGGGCGAGGGCCUGAUGGAGAGGUCCACAAGGACAAGGACGGAGCCGUGUUCGACCUCAGGCCCUUCGUGGCAGAUCUGAUUGCCUUCAUGGAAGGAAGUGGACACUCCCCACGCUACACUCUGUGGUUCUGCAUGGGGGAAAUGUGGCCCCAGGACCAGCCAUGGGUCAAGAGGCUUGUGAUGGUCAAGGUUGUUCCUACAUGUCUUAAGGAGCUGUUAGAGAUGGCCCGGGAAGGGGGAGCCUCUUCACUGAAAACCGUGGACUUGCACAUCUCCAACAGCCAGCCUAUCUCCCUUACCUCUGACCAGUACAAGGCCUACCUCCAGGACUUGGUGGAGGACAUGGACUUCCAGGCCACUGGAAAUAUCUGAGCCCCACUCAGCUGCUACCAAUAAAGCAGUUUAUGCCGCCAUCACAUCUGCUGUCGACUGCGUCUAGGCUGGUGGUUAUUCUACAAGGCUCAGUCUUCCCAUCUGCAGCUGAGGUCUAGGUGCUCCAGGAGGGAGGCACAGGGACAAAACACAGCAUGGCUGCCAAGGUCGUGGAGAAAGUAUCACAAAGAAAGCAAGGACAAGACAGGUCCAGAGCUGCACACACAUUGUCCCUACGUGGAGCAAGGGACACUGUCACAGGUGGUGAUGGUUGGCAACCGGCAAGCUUGCUGUGGGGCGGGCGGGCUGACUCACCACCACGGACUGAGUCACUGCAGCCCCACAGUGCUACUGAUACCAGAGGCCACUCGGGUGAUGCUCAAGGCUGGACCCUGCCUCCUGUUACCCCCAUAUCCCCACAUUCCUAAGUCUGGUGUGACACCAUCAUGGUUCCCCACUCACACACCCCAACUCUUUCCUCCUGAAAAAAAGCAUUUCAUGA